UACAGAGGGUGCGAGCGUUAAUCGGAAUUAUUGGGCGUAAAGCGCGUGUAGGCGGCUUGGCAAGUCGGGUGUGAAAGCCCUCAGCUUAACUGAGGAAGUGCGCCCGAAACUGCUUAGCUUGAGUACCGGAGAGGAUGGCGGAAUGCCCCAAGUAGAGGUGAAAUUCGUAGAUAUGGGGCGGAACACCGGUGGCGAAGGCGGCCAUCUGGACGGAUACUGACGCUGAGACGCGAAAGCGUGGGUAGCAAACAGG
rnacentral:rRNA from 1 species